rnacentral:lncRNA from 1 species
CCGCACACGCGGCGUCGCCGCCCCCCCUCCCCGGAGGGAGCCCGCAGAGGGUCCCCGAGCCCCCGCCCCGGACCUCUUGGCGGCGGGGCGCUCGGCCGCCAGCCUCCCCUUCCCAGGGGAGCAUCGCUUACUUACCCCUUCUGGCGGCUUUCCUGAGUUUUUGGGAGGUGGGGGGGCUCCGCUGGGAUAAAUCCUUCCGGUUCCUAACGGAGCUCACUGCAUCUCGUGGGUACCACCGCCGUGCGUGUGUGCGGGGCUGCUCCUCCGCAUGUCAGUCCAAGUUGCCGUGCUCGCUACGGAACCUGGGCUCUCUUGUGCAGCUGUCAGGCGCGUCCAGGCUCCCCGCACCGCGCAGCAGAGCGGAGCUCAGCCCGAUUGCCGCGAGACGCCGGGGUUUGCACAACUGCAGCAAGAAGCCAAAUCAAAAAGCCAAUCUGCGAGCCUCCGAACUCCACGUCACCCUAUCAGCUGGGAGCGAGAGCUGCAACAGAAUUACAAGCCGUGCAUAUUUAUUCUCCUGAACCCGGGGGGGGAUUUUCGGAUUGUUUGAAGAGAGCCACAAUGAAACCAGAGCAAACCCUUCACAAAACAAACAGAGGCAGAGCAGCUGUCUUGCAUGUAAUGCACACACGGACCUCUGCGCUCUCUGUGGGUUAUGGAUGGAUGGGAACGUGCACUCAUCCUCUGAGAGUACUGACUUUGUGCAUCUCAAGCAGGGGAGGGGAUGCACACGGUGGCAAAGCCUCACAGCAGAAGCUAUUGAUUGCACAUCUGAAAUUUAAGGGAUCUGCCACAGAUUAAAUAUAGGCAAUGUAAUUACACAGGCAGCCUCAGUCCUGGUAACCACCCGAAGCCACAUGCUUUGGUUUGUGCUUGCAGAAACCAUCCAAUCAUUUCUUUCAUCCAAAGUCAAAUAGCAACUUGUGAGACAGCAAGUCAUCCCAAGGCAAAAAUACACAUUGCCUCCAAAGUUGCUAUUUGACUUGGGCAGGAGAUGGCCAGGGGUUGGUUUCCAUGACCAUGGAGCAGGACUGCAGCUCUGUCUCAUACCACACACAGUGACCUUUGCACAUGGCUUGUCUCCUGUUGCCAUUCCUUCUUUUUUUGUCUGUUGCUACCACAGACACGAGUUUCCAGCCAUUUUACCUACUGCUGUGACUUUUCACUAAUGUAAAGAACCACAAAAGGUGCUGUAAGGCAAUGUUUCCUGGCACAGCUGCGUACCAGGGAUGGUCGAUUCCAUCCCUCAGAAACGAGCCAGCAGGUCACAGCAUCCCUGAACACCAGCUGCUCCAUCCUGGUGGUUGACCCAUAGGGCAGCCCUGACCCCACCACCAUAGGAUGGAAGGAUCCAGAAACCUGCAGGAGCAGUUAGUUAUGGUCUGGAACCUACUGUUGUUAAUUAGAAACAGAGGAGCAGCUGGAGGAGGACUCAGUCACUGCCAGGUGUGGUGAAUGAGCAUGAGGCAGCAGCAGAGAACAGCCCAUGGGGCCCAGCCUCAGUCCUGCAUCUCCUUUUGUCUCCCAGUCACCCAAAAAAGACAGGCCAGGUGGGGGACGUGGGGACACACAAGUCAGACAACAAGCUGAGAUCUAGCCAGGCCAACCAUGCCCAAGCUGGGGAUGCCAGCCUAAGAGCAUCAGUCUCUCAGUGCUCUCCAAUGCUUAGUAAGGGACAAGGUUCCUGCUGGCAUGGGGGGAACUCUCUGAUGCAGGCCCCAAGCAAGUGCAGGAGGCACCAAGGAGUGGGGGUACAAAUGGCACAUCAGUGGGUGCACACCCUCAUGCAGUGCACAGGAUG